rnacentral:tRNA from 1 species
CAGAGCGUAGCUCAGCUUGGCAGAGCGCCCGGUCCGGAACCGGGAGGCCGUAGGUUCAAGUCCUACCGUUCUGA